GGGCACAUGGUGUAGUUGGUUAUCACAUCCGCUUAGCACGUCUGAGGCGUUAGGUUCUGCGGGGGGUGCUGGGUUCAAUUCCCAGUGUGUCCA